UGAGUUCUUACAUGUCUAAGUCUGAUUUAUGACAAUCCUAGCAUUAUCCGAUAUGUUUUGUAUCAAUGUGUGGGCUUUAUUGAUAUUGAUAUCAAUUUCUGCAUUGAAGAAAUGUGAUCUUUGCUUCAAUGCAAAAUUGGUUUUUUAGUAUAUGUGGUUUCAUAAUGUUUAUAAGCAACAUUGUUAUGCUAAAUGCACAUGAAGAUUGCACAAAAUUUCAGAAUGUUGAAAUUUGCAAUGAUGGGCAGCUUGGUAUCUUGAAUGCUACUCAGUCCCAAAUACAUACAACAUACUUGGCCUAUCUAUGAGAAAUCCUCCACGAAUCUAACUAUGCGACUAAGCUAAAGUAGGCCCCAAUUGCGAUGUCUAGACAGCUGAACUGUUUAGGCAACUGAACUUGUCUUUUUGUGCUCUGUGGGAUUUUUAUUGUGAUAUUGAUUUACAAAUGAUAGAUGCUUCACUGUAAUUUCUUUCUUUUAUAUUCUUAUAUGUGCUUAGAAAUUAGUCCUUUUCUAUUUAAUAUUCCUGCAGCCCUUUUGUAUGUUGACAAGGUCAUGGCCCUGGUGCUGAUAUUGAUACACUUUGUGUGGGACCGUCCUAUGUAAACCGAGAGGAAGACUUUUUUUAUAAUAUUGCAUGACACCCUGGCUGAAAGGGAAGAAGUGACCGAAUUACAACCAGUUCUAGAUGCUCAUGUACCAGUAGUGAAAUUCAAGUUCCACAGAAUAUCAGUUGAUCUUCUUUAUGCCAGUAUCUCUCUCUUGGUUGUUCCUGAACCACAGGAGUACUCUUACCGAACAACUUUCUAACUUCAAGCUAUAGUUUUCUUCAUGCCACAAGACUUCUCUUGCUUCUUAUUCUUUUUUAGCUGUUCUUUUGCCAACUUGUAGGAGGAGUUGAGGACAACAAUCAAAGUUGCUACUUUUUCUCCUGUCUAUGUUGUAAUCUAAUGAAGAACUGAAAACAUAAAAUUUUGGAUAUCAGAAAGAUGUGAUUUUAGAUCAACAAGAAUCAUGCUGUGAUAGGGCACUAAACAGUUCCUAGGAAAGGAUCUGUUAAGCAUCCACUUUUGAAGUUGUAGUAGUUAACAUAUCUUUGGAACCACUUGCAUACAGUUAUCCACUUCUGAAGUUAUGGUUGUGCUAUUCAUGGAACUAUUCUUGGUAAAUGCAUAAUGCAGGGCAGUCAAAUUGUGUGGUAAAUGUUUUCUAAGAAUGUAGGGUGGAUGUUUUUAUCAUAACCACUUGCUGUAUAUGCAUAUCUCUGGAACCACUUGCAUAAACUUAUCUAUUUCUAAACCUGUGGUUGUGUUGUGCAUGAAACUAUUCUUUGGAAAUGCAUAAUGCAGUGCAGUCAAAUUGUGUGGUAAAUGUUUUUUGAGAAUGCAGGGGCUAGAUUUUUUUGCCAUAAGCACUUGUCGCAUAUACAUAUCUCUGGAACCACUUACAUAUAGUAAUCCACUUCUGAAGUUGUGGUUGUGCUGUGCAUGAAACUAUUCUUUGGAAAUGCAUAAUGCAGUGCAGUCAAAUUAUGUGGUAAAUGUUUUUUGAGAAUGCAGGGACUGGAUUUUAUUUUAUUUUUGUCAUAAGCACUUGUCGCAUUUACAUAUCUUUGAGUAACCCAUCUUUGGUCAAGCGUAUGUCUUUGCGUGAUUUUGCUUUGGGUAUAUUCAUUUAUGUGGAAUGGAAGCAUGCAUUGCAUUGUUUAUCAGCUAAAUUGCUUUGUCUAUUACAGUGUGGAACUAUAUUUUAUUGUGUUGUAAGAGCACUGUGUGUGUGUUAGUAUACCUAUUUACUGUUUACAAUCUAAUGCGAAGGCCAUC